UACGUAGGGUGCGAGCGUUAAUCGGAAUACUGGGCGUAAAGCGUGCGCAGGCGGCGGCUCAAGUCAGAUGUGAAAUCCCCGGGCUCAACCUGGGAACUGCAUUUGUGACUGCAUAGCUAGAGUACGGUAGAGGGGGAUGGAAUUCCGCGUGUAGCAGUGAAAUGCGUAGAUAUGCGGAGGAACACCGAUGGCGAAGGCAAUCCCCUGGACCUGUACUGACGCUCAUGCACGAAAGCGUGGGGAGCAACAGG
rnacentral:rRNA from 1 species